rnacentral:rRNA from 1 species
CUGGAGGACCGAACCGACUAAUGUUGAAAAAUUAGCGGAUGACUUGUGGCUGGGGGUGAAAGGCCAAUCAAACCGGGAGAUAGCUGGUUCUCCCCGAAAGCUAUUUAGGUAGCGCCUCGUGAAUUCAUCUCCGGGGGUAGAGCACUGUUUCGGCAAGGGGGUCAUCCCGACUUACCAACCCGAUGCAAACUGCGAAUACCGGAGAAUGUUAUCACGGGAGACACACGGCGGGUGCUAACGUCCGUCGUGAAGAGGGAAACAACCCAGACCGCCAGCUAAGGUCCCAAAGUCAUGGUUAAGUGGGAAACGAUGUGGGAAGGCCCAGACAGCCAGGAUGUUGGCUUAGAAGCAGCCAUCAUUUAAAGAAAGCGUAAUAGCUCACUGGUCGAGUCGGCCUGCGCGGAAGAUGUAACGGGGCUAAACCAUGCACCGAAGCUGCGGCAGCGACGCUUAUGCGUUGUUGGGUAGGGGAGCGUUCUGUAAGCCUGUGAAGGUGUGCUGUGAGGCAUGCUGGAGGUAUCAGAAGUGCGAAUGCUGACAUAAGUAACGAUAAAGCGGGUGAAAAGCCCGCUCGCCGGAAGACCAAGGGUUCCUGUCCAACGUUAAUCGGGGCAGGGUGAGUCGACCCCUAAGGCGAGGCCGAAAGGCGUAGUCGAUGGGAAACAGGUUAAUAUUCCUGUACUUGGUGUUACUGCGAAGGGGGGACGGAGAAGGCUAUGUUGGCCGGGCGACGGUUGUCCCGGUUUAAGCGUGUAGGCUGGUUUUCCAGGCAAAUCCGGAAAAUCAAGGCUGAGGCGUGAUGACGAGGCACUACGGUGCUGAAGCAACAAAUGCCCUGCUUCCAGGAAAAGCCUCUAAGCAUCAGGUAACAUCAAAUCGUACCCCAAACCGACACAGGUGGUCAGGUAGAGAAUACCAAGGCGCUUGAGAGAACUCGGG